GGGCUGGGUCUUUGCGGGCGAGAUGAGAGGUUUGUGUCUUCAACUGGCCUACAAAGUCCCAGUUCUCGGCUCCCAGGACCUGCCGGGCUCGCAGCGGGUGAAGACGGAGGGCGGCGGGGCCGCUCCCUGCGGGUCGUGGGGCCCGGCCCGGCCCGGCGGGCGCUGCUGGAGCAGCCCCGGCACCGCCGCCUUGUGCUGGGGCCGGCGGGUGGCCCCGGCUCGCCGUGGCGGGCGUAGGGAGAGGACGGGUCUGGUUCUCCGCGAACCGAGCAUUUCAGCUGCUUUGCGUAGAGCUGAAUUCAUUGUAAAUGAGAAGUGACUAGAACCUGCCUGGAGUCCCAGGUCUUGGUGAACUCUGGGAGGCACUGAGGUGCUGCCAGUUCAGGUACAGUAUGAACCAGGAGCUGCCCCUGCUGUGGAAUGAGUGUGUCCCCAUGAAGUCAUCCUGCCUAGCUAUUGCAGGACCAGCUGCUCUGUGUAAGCCCUAAAAGAUAAUCCUUGUCCCGAUUACUGUGUGACUAGAUAAGAUAAGACAAUGGGCAGAAGAAAGGCAUCUUAUUGUCAGUUAAGGAUGGGUACUGGUUAACCAGCUGGGAACAAAGAAACCUGGGCUGCUCAAGGCCCCACAAGACUGUCCCAGGAAUGUCCUUCCCUACAGGCUGAUUCCACCAACACAACACUUUUGGAACUGUUUCAGGACUUCUUGCUUUGUCACCUUUGAUUUCUGAGAUUGCCCCAUCAUAGGAAGCCCCAGACCCUCUGCUCCUCUCCACAGGAUUUCUUCAUCUAGCAACUCUCAUGUCUUCAUCUGAUACUGAAACGAGAUGGAAGGGCUUGAAUGUUGCCUCGGCAAGGCAUGUGGAUGGAAUUAGUUUGAUCUGCUCUGAUUUUGCUAUCUGCCAAACCAACUAGACAGAAUCUCCACAACUGCCAACAGGCUGCAGAGCUGCAACCUACUACAGAGGAAUAAUCUUUGCUGAAGAUGGGAAGACCAAGAAUGAGGGUUUGUAACUUUUUUGGAUAUGUUUCUAUGUUACAAUUUUUAUCAUCGGUAUCAACACCAUACUCAAUAAUAUUUAUGUGUUAAAAUAAACACAUUUUUGCUCUGAAAUACUGGAAUAUGCCUCCCCAGCUUCUUCAUGUCUUGGCUCUGCUACUGUGAAGAGAACCCACUCAUGGAGUUUAAGGUCACAGGGAUGAGUCUGAACCUCUUAACAGAGGAUGUGCACAGAGCAACUCCUGCAGUUCAUCCUGAAGCCAGGGCCUUGAUGAAUGGAUCUUUUUCUUAUGUGCUAUGGGAACUCUGCCUAUAUAAAUGUCUGACAAGCUGUUCCAGUGCUUUAUAACCUUGUGUCUUGUACCUUAUUGCAAGCUGCAAUUUCCUGCUUAUGCAUCUUGUAUGGCCUCUGUGGACGAAAACCUUCAUGUAUGUGACUGCAUGUGGUGAAUAGAAGGGCACUGUGGUUCGGUGCUAUUUUCAGCCUAUCUGUUUCCCAAAACAGCUCUCCCAGCCACACAGGUCAGACACAUUCCCUCCAGUUUCCAUACUGCCUGUCAAGAGUGGAGAGUAGGUGCAGCAGAGGUCUGCAGGGACACUUGGUACGUGUCCAGGAGCUUCUACACAGAAUCCCUUGUGCACAUCCUGCAGGUAGGAUCCAGCCCUGCCUGCCCCUCUUUAACACUUCAAGAUGUUCUCAGCAGACCCAUGAGUCUGCUUCUCUAUGCCCAGGCUAAGCUACUAAGUCUUCAAGGACCAAUUUGGCUGAGUUUUAUUUCUGAACGUUCAGAUUAAGCAUCUCCAAAUUAGCUUGGAAAAUGCAGAAAUACCUAAAAUAAAGCUGUUUUGAAAAGUA